GAUGAACGCUAGCUACAGGCUUAACACAUGCAAGUCGAGGGACCGGCGCACGGGUGAGUAACACGUAUCCCACCUGCCCUUUACUCGGGGAUAGCCUUUCGAAAUAAAGAUUAAUACACGAUGUAAAGGAUGGGGAUGCGUUCCAUUAGGUUGUUGGUGAGGUAACGGCUCACCAAGCCUUCGAUGGAUAGUGGUUCUGAGAGGAAGGUCCCCCACAUUGGAACUGAGACACGGUCCAAAAUCCUAUGGGAGGCAGCAGUGAGGAAUAUUGGUCAAUGGGCGGUAGCCUGAACCAGCCACGUAGCGUGAAGGAUGAAGGCUUAUGGGUCGUAAACUUCUGUUAUAUAAGAAUAUGUAUUAUAUGAAUAAGGAUCGGCUAACUCCGUGCCAGCCGCCGCGGUAAUAC
rnacentral:rRNA from 1 species